GGGGUUUAAUUUGGGGGAGGGGGUAUUAUGAGGGGCAGCAGCCGCGGUAAUUCCAGCUCCAAAAGCGUAUAUUAAAGUUGUUGCAGUUAAAAAGCUCGUAGUUGAACCUUGGGCUUGGCUGGCCGGUCCAUCUUUUUGAUGCGUACUGGACCCAGCCGAGCCUUUCCUUCUGGGUAGCCAUUUAUGGCGAACCAGGACUUUUACUUUGAAAAAAUUAGAGUGUUCAAAGCAGGCCUUUGCUCGAAUAUAUUAGCAUGGAAUAAUAGAAUAGGACGUUAUGGUUCUAUUUUGUUGGUUUCUAGGACCAUCGUAAUGAUUAAUAGGGACGGUCGGGGGUAUCAGUAUUCAGUUGUCAGAGGUGAAAUUCUUGGAUUUACUGAAGACUAACUACUGCGAAAGCAUUUACCAAGGACGUUUUCAUUAAUCAAGAACGAAAGUUAGGGGAUCGAAGAUGAUCUAGAUACCCGUCGUUUAUUAACGG
rnacentral:rRNA from 1 species